rnacentral:tRNA from 1 species
GGUAGUGUGGCCGAGAAGCAGGCGGCGAGCUGUAGACUCGCCUACCGGGGGCGGACCCCGCGCUCCUAAGCC